AACGAACGCUGGCGGCAUGCCUAACACAUGCAAGUCGAACGAGAUCUUCGGGUCUAGUGGCGCACGGGUGCGUAACGCGUGGGAAUCUGCCCUUUGGUUCGGAAUAACAGUUGGAAACGACUGCUAAUACCGGAUGAUGACGAAAGUCCAAAGAUUUAUCGCCAGAGGAUGAGCCCGCGUAGGAUUAGCUAGUUGGUGUGGUAAAGGCGCACCAAGGCGACGAUCCUUAGCUGGUCUGAGAGGAUGAUCAGCCACACUGGGACUGAGACACGGCCCAGACUCCUACGUGAGGCAGCCGUGGGGAAUAUUAGACAAUGGGCGAAAGCCUGAUCCAGCAAUGCCGCGUGAGUGAUGAAGGCCUUAGGGUUGUAAAGCUCUUUUACCCGGGAUGAUAAUGACAGUACCGGGAGAAUAAGCUCCGGCUAACUCCGUGCCAGCAGCCGCCGUAA
rnacentral:rRNA from 1 species